rnacentral:rRNA from 1 species
AUUGAACGCUGGCGGCAUGCCUUACACAUGCAAGUCGAACGGUAACAGGUCUUCGGAUGCUGACGAGUGGCGAACGGGUGAGUAAUACAUCGGAACGUGCCCAGACGUGGGGGAUAACGAGGCGAAAGCUUUGCUAAUACCGCAUACGAUCUAAGGAUGAAAGCAGGGGACCGCAAGGCCUUGCGCGUUUGGAGCGGCCGAUGGCAGAUUAGGUAGUUGGUGGGAUAAAAGCUUACCAAGCCGACCAUCUGUAGCUGGUCUGAGAGGACGACCAGCCACACUGGGACUGAGACACGGCCCAGACUCCUACGGGAGGCAGCAGUGGGGAAUUUUGGACAAUGGGCGAAAGCCUGAUCCAGCAAUGCCGCGUGCAGGAUGAAGGCCUUCGGGUUGUAAACUGCUUUUGUACGGAACGAAAAGGCUCUGGCUAAUACCUGGGGCACAUGACGGUACCGUAAGAAUAAGCACCGGCUAACUACGUG